UACGUAGGGCGCAAGCGUUGUCCGGAAUUAUUGGGCGUAAAGAGCUUGUAGGCGGUUUGUCGCGUCUGCUGUGAAAAUCCGGGGCUCAACCCCGGACUUGCAGUGGGUACGGGCAGACUGGAGUGUGGUAGGGGGGACUGGAAUUCCUGGUGUAGCGGUGGAAUGCGCAGAUAUCAGGAGGAACACCGAUGGCGAAGGCAGGUCUCUGGGCCACUACUGACGCUGAGAAGCGAAAGCAUGGGGAGCGAACAGG
rnacentral:rRNA from 1 species